UUAAAUUGAAGAGUUUGAUCAUGGCUCAGAUUGAACGCUGGCGGCAGGCCUAACACAUGCAAGUCGAGCGGCAGCGGGAAAGUAGCUUGCUACUUUUGCCGGCGAGCGGCGGACG
rnacentral:rRNA from 1 species